rnacentral:rRNA from 1 species
AGAGUUUGAUCCUGGCUCGGGAUGAACGCUGGCGGUAUGCCUAACACAUGCAAGUCGUACGAGAGUUUUUAACUCUAGUGGCGGACGGGUGAGUAACACGUGAGAAUUUGCCUUUAGGAGGGGGAUAACAAUUGGAAACGAAUGCUAAUACCCCAUAUGCUUUUGAGUGAAACGGAUUUAUCCGCCUAGAGAGAAGCUCGCGGCUGAUUAGCUUGUUGGUAAGGUAAGAGCUUACCAAGGCGACGAUCAGUAUCUGGUUUGAGAGGACGAUCAGACACACUGGAACUGAGACACGGUCCAGACUCCUACGGGAGGCAGCAGUGGGGAAUUUUCCGCAAUGGGCGAAAGCCUGACGGAGCAAUACCGCGUGAGGGAAGACUGCCUAUGGGUUGUAAACCUCUUUUUUCAGGGAGGAAUAAAUGACGUGUACCUGAAGAAUAAGCAUCGGCUAACUCCGUGCCAGCAGCCGCGGUAAGACGGAGGAUGCAAGUGUUAUCCGGAAUCACUGGGCGUAAAGCGUCUGUAGGUGGCCUAAUAAGUCAACUGUUAAAUCUUGAGGCUCAACUUCAAAAUCGCAGUCGAAACUAUUAGACUAGAGUAUAGUAGAGGUAAAGGGAAUUUCCAGUGGAGCGGUGAAAUGCGUAGAUAUUGGAAAGAACACCGAUGGCGAAAGCACUUUACUGGGCUAUUACUAACGCUCAGAGACGAAAGCUAGGGUAGCAAAUGGGAUUAGAUACCCCAGUAGUCCUAGCCGUAAACAAUGGAUACUAGAUGUUGAACAGAUCGACCUGUGCAGUAUCAAAGCUAACGCGUUAAGUAUCCCGCCUGGGAAGUAUGCUCGCAAGAGUGAAACUCAA